AAAAUACAUCAACUUCCAUUCAAUAUGACCUUUUUCUGAAAGGAUCAAAUGUCUACAAAACUAAACAAACAAAAUUCUGUUUAGAAUCAGAAUUUUCAAAACACAUAAUAGGCACUUUUUUGUUUUUUUUUUAAGACAGUGUAGUACAUGAAGCAUUUAUUAUUUGAAAUUAAAGUUACUUGGAUUAAGUCACUAAGUGAAAUAAAUCAUGGAGUACUUGUGUGAUAGCAAGCAGCUCGGAGACAAAUCUUAAGACUCACAGUGGAAUAAUGUCUGUGAUAUGUAAAAUAACCAACAGGUAUUAUAUGCCUGAUAAAGGAUUCGUGUAAACUAUGUAGCAAUGUACUUCAGAUGAGACACAGACACAGCCAAUGACCUCAUGAGGAGACAACAACCGUCUGUCAGAGAGGAUACCAAGAUCCACUUUGCUUGUUAGGGAUGGUGCUGAGAUGCCACUUUGUACCAUGAGGACGGCUGCAAUCAGAAAAAAGUCAGACAACAGCACAUGCAAGGGAGGGCAUGGAGAAUGGGGACCUUGUACUGCUGGGGGAAGUACAAAAUAAUGUAGCCACUGUGAGAAACUGACUGGAAUUUAUCCCAAGGCUAAACAGUCACUAUUUGACCUGCAUUUCCAGGCCUAGGAAACCACCUGAGAGAAAAGAUAAUGCACC